CGGAGUAUAGCGCAGUUGGUAGCGCGUGCGCCUGGGGGGCGUGAGGUCGUCGGUUCAAGUCCGGCUACUCCGACCA
rnacentral:tRNA from 1 species